rnacentral:rRNA from 1 species
AACGAACGCUGGCGGCAGGCCUAACACAUGCAAGUCGAGCGCUCACCUUCGGGUGGGAGCGGCGCACGGGUGAGUAACACGUGGGAACCUACCUUGAAGUACGGAAUAACUGAGGGAAACUUCAGCUAAUACCGUAUACGCCCUACGGGGGAAAGAUUUAUCGCUUCAAGACGGGCCCGCGUUGGAUUAGCUAGUUGGUGAGGUAAUGGCUCACCAAGGCAACGAUCCAUAGCUGAUUUGAGAGAAUGAUCAGCCACACUGGGACUGAGACACGGCCCAGACUCCUACGGGAGGCAGCAGUGGGGAAUAUUGGACAAUGGGCGCAAGCCUGAUCCAGCCAUGCCGCGUGAGUGAUGAAGGCCUUCGGGUUGUAAAGCUCUUUCAGAUGGGACGAUGAUGACGGUACCAUCAGAAGAAGCCCCGGCUAACUUCGUGCCAGCCGCCGCCGUAAUAC